rnacentral:rRNA from 1 species
AAUUGGAGGGCAAGUCUGGUGCCAGCAGCCGCGGUAAUUCCAGCUCCAAUAGCGUAUAUUAAAGUUGUUGCAGUUAAAAAGCUCGUAGUUGAAUUUUGGGUUUGGCCGAUUGGUCCGUUCUUGUAACGAGUACUGGUCGGUUGGGCCUCAUUGCCUGGGGAGGCGUGAUGCCCUUUAUUGGGUGUUGCGAGUAGCCAGGACUUUUACCUUGAAAAAAUUAGAGUGUUUAAAGCAGGCAUAUGCCGGAAUACAUUAGCAUGGAAUAAUAGAAUAGGACGAUGAUUCUAUUUUGUUGGUUUCUAGGACCAUCGUAAUGAUUAAUAGGGAUAGUUGGGGGCAUUAGUAUUCAAUUGUCAGAGGUGAAAUUCUUGGAUUUAUUGAAGACUAACUACUGCGAAAGCAUUUGCCAAGGAUGUUUUCAUUAAUCAAGAACGAAAGUUAGGGGAUCGAAGACGAUCAGAUACCGUCGUAGUCUUAACCAUAAACUAUGCCGACUAGGGAUCGGAUGAUGUUAAUUUUUUAAUGACUCAUUCGGCGCCUUACGGGAAACCAAAGUGU